UCACUUUAGAAAUAAAGAAAUGUAUCCAGUUGUUGAUUAAUCUCAGUUAACUCACAACUAAAGUCUUGUGUAAUUGGUCAGCUGCUUGAUUAUGUUUUGGGGCCAUACAUGUUAAGAGAAGGGAUUAAGAGAUGCAGAGAAGAGACCAGAAGAUGAAGCAGUGGUUCCAACCAGUGUCCACCCCUCAAGGGCCCACUUAACUGCCAAGAGCUCCCGGUUGCCUACAUCGUAGUUCCCUUCCGCUGGCGAGAACCGCUUGGAGAGUGUUGGGGAAUAAUCAGAAUUGGUUGGUAACAUAGGUAAGAUGUUUUAUAUUCAUCAUAUGUUUGUAAGUUACUUCUCAUCAGAAUGUUAUUUUUGUAUAAUACUGUGGCGGGGUUGCAGUAUCUGUUCUAUGUCAAGACUAAGUUGUUUGGGCCGGAGAGAGGGGAGAGGUCAAGCGUGUAUCUCUUGGCUCCACAAUGUCUGUUUGCCAGUCAGUGUGUCUCUGUGUUCUUGUCAAGAUAGGAUGGAUUUGAUAUAUGCCUGUUGAUAUGGAGGAUUGGUUUAUGGUUCUGAGUUUGAGAAAAUAACAUAGUUUAGGAGACAAAGCUGAAUGAUUUAUUAUGUCUAUGCUGUCUGACUAUGUGUGUUUUUUGCUAUUAAAGGAUCUCAGUUGCAAUGUGGAGGGGACUCAGAGAAUUCAUUGAUAGACACUGAAUUGAUCUGAGAGUCACAGGGUUGUGAUAGAGCUCAUAUAAUUAAAGAUGGACUUUGAUAACUAACUCUGACUUGUGUGUGGUUUGCUCUCAUGAUUUGGUAAAUAGAGGAAAUUUCCACGACAAGAGAAAGGCGCAUGGGUGCAGUUCCUUGUCCUCAUUCCCAUGUGAAAGGACCGCACCAGAUCCGGUGUCCGAGGCGUCCACCUCUACCACAAAGGCACGAGUAUGAUCAGGAUGAACGAGGAUGGGUCCGAAGGUGAAACGUCCCUUAAGCUCUAUGAAUGCCCUGUCAGCCUCGGGAUUCCUGCAAAAACCUGCUUGAGUGAGGUGGGAUAGGGCCGUAUGUGUUCCGGAAGGGUUUUUGGAGAAGAUCAGGAUGUCGUCGAGGUAAACAAAGGCGAACCGGUUCAACAUAUCCCUAAGAGUGUCAUUGAUCAAUGCUUGAAAGACUGCCAUUGAGUUCGAUAUUCUGAAGGACUAAAUACUCAGUCACCACUAGGGGUGUUAAAGACAGUUUUCCACUCAUCUCCCUCCCUGAUUCUCACCAGAUUUUAAGCGUUGCGGAGGUCCAGUUUGGUGAAGAAUUGGGCUCCUAGGGCCAACUCCAAGGCAGCGGACAUCGGGUAGGGGGGAACGAUUCUUGAUCGUAAUCCUUUUUAGCCCUCUGUAAUCGAUGCAAGGACUGAAGUUUGGGUCAGAGACAGAGAGACAAGGGAUGCAUUUAGACAGGCAGCCCAAUUAUGAUAUUUUUUCCACUAAUAGGUCUUUUGAACAAUCGCAUUAAGAUAUUUUCGCAUCAGCUGUUUUUCAGAGCAUAUCUGAUUGCUCAAAAUACAAAUUACUCAAAAAAAUUACUGAAUUGGGCUGCUUGUCUCAACGAAGCCAUAGAAACCUGGACAUGCUCCAGCUGAAAAGUUCCCUCCUGUCAGUACUGAUGUUGAAUGGCAUUAAAUACACUUUUUUUGUUCUCUCCCAUCCCCUGUAGUUUUGUUGAACAUGAGUGGAAAUGAAACUCCAGCACACUGGUAGCACUAAAGACGUCUGAGUAUAACUUUUCCAGGUGAGUUGAACCUGCCUGUGGGUGCGGUGGGGAUAUUCCUGGGAGGUCUACUGAUGAAGAGGUAUAAGCUUGGCGUUGUGUCUGGAGCCCAGUUGUCUUUCGUCACCCCCUUCAUGGCCUACCUCCUCCUCCUUCCGCUGUCUGGCACUAAGUGUGACAACGUUUAGGUGGCUGGUCUGACCGUGUCCUACAACGGGUCCACUGGUGUACGAUGGCAGCCUGUUGUCAGAGUGUAACAGAGACUGCUCCUGCUUGGCUGGGGAGUGGGACCCUGUGUGUUCAGACAACGGCAUCACCUACACCUCCCCCUGCCUUGCAGGCUGCUCCAGCCUUACAGGUUACUGCAAGAACACGGUACCAACACUAUUAAUGUACUGAGUGUACAACACAUUCACAGGAAUGCUGGCCCAUGUUGACUCCAAUGCUUUCCACAGUUGUGUCAAGUUGGCCGUAUGUCUUUUGAGUGGUGGACCAUUCGUGAUACACACAGGAAACUGUUGAGCGUAAAAAAAACAGCAGAGUUGCAGUUCUUGACACAAACUGGUACCCCUGGCAUGCCCCGUUGAAAGGCACGUAAAUAUUUUGUCUUGCCCAUUCACCCUCUGAAUGGCAUACAUACACAAUCCAUGUCUCAAUUGUCUCAAGGCUUACAAUUUUGUUUUAAACCUUUCUCCUCCUCUUUAUCUACACUGAUUUAAGUGGAUUUCACUAGUGACAUCCAUAAGGGAUUAUAGCUUUAAGCUGGAAUCACCUGGUCAGCAUAUGUCAUGGAAAGAGCAGGUGUUCUUAAUAUUUUAUCCACUCAGUGUAACUCAUUGACACUGAAAUAAGUUAUUUUCAACCAUUAACUGGGGCCUUGUUGAUGUCACGCCCUGGUCAA
ensembl:lncRNA